GACGAACGCUGGCGGCGUGCUUAACACAUGCAAGUCGAACGAAAAGACGGAAAGAGCUUGCUCUUUUCAGAAUUGAGUGGCAAACGGGUGAGUAACACGUAAACAACCUGCCUUCAGGAUGGGGACAACAGACGGAAACGACUGCUAAUACCGAAUAAGUUCCAAGGGCCGCAUGGCCUAUGGAAGAAAAGGUGGCCUCUACCUGUAAGCUAUCGCCUGAAGAGGGGUUUGCGUCUGAUUAGCUGGUUGGAGGGGUAACGGCCCACCAAGGCAACGAUCAGUAGCCGGUCUGAGAGGAUGAACGGCCACACUGGAACUGAGACACGGUCCAGACUCCUACGGGAGGCAGCAGUGGGGAAUCUUCCGCAAUGGGCGAAAGCCUGACGGAGCAACGCCGCGUGAGUGAUGACGGCCUUCGGGUUGUAAAACUCUGUGAUCCGGGACGAAAAGGCAGAGUGCGAAGAACAA
rnacentral:rRNA from 1 species